rnacentral:rRNA from 1 species
CAGAGAUGCUUUCGGUUGGCCUUCGGGAACGUACUGAGGACAGGUGCUGCAUGGCUGUCGUCAGCUCGUGUUGUGAAAUGUUGGGUUAAGUCCCGCAACGAGCGCAACCCUUAUCCUUUGUUGCCAGCGGCUCGGCCGGGAACUCAAAGGAGACUGCCGGUGAUAAACCGGAGGAAGGUGGGGAUGACGUCAAGUCAUCAUGGCCCUUACGGCCAGGGCUACACACGUGCUACAAUGGCGCAUACAAAGAGAAGCGACCUCGCGAGAGCAAGCGGACCUCACAAAGUGCGUCGUAGUCCGGAUUGGAGUCUGCAACUCGACUCCAUGAAGUCGGAAUCGCUAGUAAUCGUAGAUCAGAAUGCUACGGUGAAUACGUUCCCGGGCCUUGUACACACCGCCCGUCACACCAUGGGAGUGGGUUGCAAAAGAAGUAGGUAGCUUAACCUUCGGGAGGGCGCUUACCACUUUGUGAUUCAUGACUGGGGUGAAGUCGUAACAAGGUAAGCGUAGCGAG